GGCCUGCGCGGAAGAUGUAACGGGGCUAAACCAUGCACCGAAGCUGCGGCAGCGACACUAUGUGUUGUUGGGUAGGGGAGCGUUCUGUAAGCCUGCGAAGGUGGCCUGUGAGGGUUGCUGGAGGUAUCAGAAGUGCGAAUGCUGACAUAAGUAACGAUAAAGCGGGUGAAAAGCCCGCUCGCCGGAAGACCAAGGGUUCCUGUCCAACGUUAAUCGGGGCAGGGUGAGUCGACCCCUAAGGCGAGGCCGAAAGGCGUAGUCGAUGGGAAACAGGUUAAUAUUCCUGUACUUGGUGUUACUGCGAAGGGGGGACGGAGAAGGCUAUGUUGGCCGGGCGACGGUUGUCCCGGUUUAAGCGUGUAGGCUGGUUUUCCAGGCAAAUCCGGAAAAUCAAGGCUGAGGCGUGAUGACGAGGCACUACGGUGCUGAAGCAACAAAUGCCCUGCUUCCAGGAAAAGCCUCUAAGCAUCAGGUAACAUCAAAUCGUACCCCAAACCGACACAGGUGGUCAGGUAGAGAAUACCAAGGCGCUUGAGAGAACUCGGGUGAAGGAACUAGGCAAAAUGGUGCCGUAACUUCGGGAGAAGGCACGCUGAUAUGUAGGUGAAGCGACUUGCUCGUGGAGCUGAAAUCAGUCGAAGAUACCAGCUGGCUGCAACUGUUUAUUAAAAACACAGCACUGUGCAAACACGAAAGUGGACGUAUACGGUGUGACGCCUGCCCGGUGCCGGAAGGUUAAUUGAUGGGGUUAGCGGUAACGCGAAGCUCUUGAUCGAAGCCCCGGUAAACGGCGGCCGUAACUAUAACGGUCCUAAGGUAGCGAAAUUCCUUGUCGGGUAAGUUCCGACCUGCACGAAUGGCGUAAUGAUGGCCAGGCUGUCUCCACCCGAGACUCAGUGAAAUUGAACUCGCUGUGAAGAUGCAGUGUACCCGCGGCAAGACGGAAAGACCCCGUGAACCUUUACUAUAGCUUGACACUGAACAUUGAGCCUUGAUGUGUAGGAUAGGUGGGAGGCUUUGAAGUGUGGACGCCAGUCUGCAUGGAGCCGACCUUGAAAUACCACCCUUUAAUGUUUGAUGUUCUAACGUUGGCCCCUGAUCGGGGUUGCGGACAGUGUCUGGUGGGUAGUUUGACUGGGGCGGUCUCCUCCUAAAGAGUAACGGAGGAGCACGAAGGUUGGCUAAUCCUGGUCGGACAUCAGGAGGUUAGUGCAAUGGCAUAAGCCAGCUUGACUGCGAGCGUGACGGCGCGAGCAGGUGCGAAAGCAGGUCAUAGUGAUCCGGUGGUUCUGAAUGGAAGGGCCAUCGCUCAACGGAUAAAAGGUACUCCGGGGAUAACAGGCUGAUACCGCCCAAGAGUUCAUAUCGACGGCGGUGUUUGGCACCUCGAUGUCGGCUCAUCACAUCCUGGGGCUGAAGUAGGUCCCAAGGGUAUGGCUGUUCGCCAUUUAAAGUGGUACGCGAGCUGGGUUUAGAACGUCGUGAGACAGUUCGGUCCCUAUCUGCCGUGGGCGCUGGAGAACUGAGGGGGGCUGCUCCUAGUACGAGAGGACCGGAGUGGACGCAUCACUGGUGUUCGGGUUGUCAUGCCAAUGGCACUGCCCGGUAGCUAAAUGCGGAAGAGAUAAGUGCUGAAAGCAUCUAAGCACGAAACUUGCCCCGAGAUGAGUUCUCCCUGACUCCUUGA
rnacentral:rRNA from 1 species